rnacentral:misc_RNA from 1 species
GAUGAAGAACGCAGCGAAAUGCGAUAAGUAAUGUGAAUUGCAGAAUUCAGUGAAUCAUCGAAUCUUUGAACGCACAUUGCGCCCCCUAGCAUUCCGGGGGGCAUGCCUGUUCGAGCGUCAUUACAACCCUCAAGCUCUGCUUGGUAUUGGGCUCUGCUGGGACCGGCAGGCCUUAAAAUCAGUGGCGGCGCCACUCGGCUUCAAGCGUAGUAAUUCUUCUCGCUUCGGAGACCCGGGUGCGUGCUAGCCAGCAACCCCCAACUUUCUUAGGUUGACCUCGGAUCAGGUAGGGAUACCCGCUGAACUUAAGCAUAUCAAUAAGCGGAGGA